GCGGGGGUGUCCGAGUGGUCAAAGGAGGUAGGCUUAGGACCUACUGGCGUAGGCCUGCACGGGUUCGAACCCCGUCCCCCGCACCA
rnacentral:tRNA from 1 species